rnacentral:rRNA from 1 species
GGAUUGCGCAAUGGGCGAAAGCCUGACGCAGCGACGCCGCGUGCGGGAUGAAGGCCUUCGGGUUGUAAACCGCUUUCAGCAGGGACGAAGCGAAAGUGACGGUACCUGCAGAAGAAGCGCCGGCUAACUACGUGCCAGCAGCCGCGGUAACACGUAGGGCGCAAGCGUUGUCCGGAAUUAUUGGGCGUAAAGAGCUCGUAGGUGGUCUGCCACGUCUGUUGUGAAAAUCCAGGGCUUAACCCUGGACUUGCUGCGGAUACGGGCAGACUAGAGGUAGGUAGGGGAGAAUGGAAUUCCCGGUGUAGCGGUGAAAUGCGCAGAUAUCGGGAGGAACACCGGUGGCGAAGGCGGUUCUCUGGGCCUUACCUGACACUGAGGAGCGAAAGCGUGGGGAGCGAACAGGAUUAGAUACCCUGGUAGUCCACGCCGUAAACGUUGGGCGCUAGGUGUGGGGUCCUUCCACGGAUUCCGUGCCGCAGCUAACGCAUUAAGCGCCCCGCCUGGGGAGUACGGCCGCAAGGCUAAAACUCAAAGGAAUUGACGGA